UUGUGCUUCUCAAGCCUAAUUACACUGGACUGCCUUUAGAAAAAGCUUAGCCAGGACUUCAAGAGGCUGGAAGUCACGUAGGACCUCCACCACUAUCUGCACCUUCUUGAGUCACUGAGCUGUCCUGGACUUCAGUUUUCUUAUAUAUGAAGAAACUGAGGCCCAGAGAGGUGAAAUGAAUUACCCAAGAUCACAGCAAGAGGUGAAGGACUGGAAAAGGUCAGUUUUCAUUCCAAUCCCAAAGAAAGGCAAUGCCAAAGAGUGUUCAAAUCACCCCACAAUUUCACUCAUUUCACGCAAAGUAAUACUCAAAAUUCUCCAAGCCAGGCUUCAACAGUUCCUGAACUGAGAGCUUCCAGAUACUCAAACUGGAUUUAGAAAAGGUAGAGGAACCAGAAAUCAAAUUGCCAACAUCCGCCUGAUGAUAGAAAAAACAAG
ensembl:lncRNA